ensembl:lncRNA
UGUGGGCGUGUUUGUGGGUGUAUGUGUUCGUUUGUGAACGUAUGCGUCUGUCUGUGGUCAUAUCUGUGUGUUUGUGGGUGAAUAUGUGUGUUUGAGGGCUUAUGCAUGCAUUAGUGUGUGUAUGGAUGUGUUUGUGAGCAUAUACAUUUGUUUGUGGGUGAAUCCGUGUGUUUGUGGGCGUAUGUGUGUGCUUGUGGAGGUAUGUGUGUUUUGUGGGUUCAUGCAUGUGAUUGUGGGUGUAUCUACCCGUGAAUGGCACUGGAAGCCGGCGUACAGCAGCAGGGCGGUGGGCAGCAGAAUGAGGCUGAAGACCAGGACCAUCAGCACCACACACCCCGUCAGCAGCAGGACGUUCCACAGCAGCAGAAGCAGCGUCCACAGCACACACCCGCAGUGGCCCCGCCGGGCCCCCCAGACCCCGCCGUCACACUGAGCCGGAGGAGGAGGCAGCAUCUGGAUCCCGUCACCCGCGUCAAAGUCUUCAUCACCUUCACCAUCAUCUAACAGCACCGUCAUACCACACAUCCUAAACACAUUAUACAUUUAAUAUAACACAAAAUAUGAUAUAUUAAACAUAUUUAAAUAUCAAAUACAGUCACCUUCAACAUUUCUCACAUUAUAUCAC